rnacentral:lncRNA from 1 species
UCUCUCUCCCUCUUCCUCUUCUCCAUGAGUCUAGGGAAGGUACUAACCCUAGCACGACAUCAUAUUCCUCCAUAGAUCUCUUUUUCAUAUCCCAUCAAAUCUAAGAGAGGUCCUAAUCCUAAUGCCGCAACCCUUUCUCUUCUACAUACCUACUUCCAUCAACCUUUCUUCCUUGAAAUUCCUAGACCAAGCCUUCCAGCCAUCCUGCCACUAUCUGCAUGAAGGAAGAUGAAGGAUUCAAGGAGACACAUCUACCAUCAGAC